rnacentral:rRNA from 1 species
GACGAACCGUCCAAACGUUAUUCGGAAUCACUGGGCUUACAGAGUUCGUAGGCGGUCUGGAAAGUUGGAUGUGAAAUCCCUCGGCUCAACCAAGGAAGUGCAUCCAAAACUGCUGAGCUUGAGUACUAAAGAGGAUCGCGGAAUUCCCGGUGUAGAGGUGAAAUUCGUAGAUAUCGGGAGGAACACCAGUGGCGAAGGCGGCGAUCUGGGUAGAUACUGACGCUGAGGUGCGAAAGCGUGGGGAGCAAACAGG